CCCAACUUUAAGGUGAUGGACGACACAUCCAUUUGGUGGAGCUAUUUGGAGACUAUUUCAUGUUCCAGUCAUUAGACCUGUGAAAUGAGCGCAGGCUUGGCAUCGAACGGGUACAGAAAAGAAGUCGUAUCUGUAGGUGACUAUCCGUAACUGACUGAAAUGCUGUGGUAGUCGGGCUUCACAACGGCGCCAUCAUGAUCCGGGUCUUCUGCAACUCAGACCUUUGAACGGCCUCUCUCCAGAGCGAACCAGGGUGGCUCCUUGAUACAGAAGGUAAAAACAGUCUCCUCUGUGCAGAACCAGGAUGUUCAGGAGCAAGAUUAGAAGAAACAUUGCAACCUCUGCCUUAUUCUCGCCAGUCACUAAAGAAAUCUGUGGAGAGGACCUGAGGCCUCCCAUCGAGAAAGCAACAGAGGACAGCAUCUUUGGUGCCCUUCUGCGUCCAUCCCACGUGAGGCUCCAAUCAAUGGCUGCUCAGCCACUUUGCUGCCAAAUUCCUGGCCCGUAAACACUGGGGGAGUUGUCAACUGCUUAUGGCCGAACCACGAGGUCUCAGGGUGAUUGGUGAUGCAACAAUCAAUACCUAAUAAAAAGGCAUCCAGAUGUUCA